rnacentral:miRNA from 1 species
GCCCUGCCUGGGGUGGGUGGUGUGUGUGUGUGUGUGUGUGUGUGUGUGUGAACUGGGGUCUCCACCCGAUGCCCGCCGUCCCCCCCCCCCCCCCCA